CUGGUGUGGUUGUUGCUGGCCCUCAAGGGGGCAUGUGCACACCCGCCAUCCUCAUCUCUCCACCUGUGCACCUCUUGUAGAUCUGGAUGGACUUUCCGAGGCAACUCGGUUGGGAAGAUUGCUGCACUCUGUGAGCCAGCUUUCUUUGCAUGUCUAGGUCUAUGUUUUUCAUAUACCCCUAUAGAAUGUAACAGAAUGUAUCAUCGGGCUUUGUGCCUAUAAACCUAAUACAACUUUCAGCAACGGAUCUCUUGGCUCUCGCAUCGAUGAAGAACGCAGCGAAAUGCGAUAAGUAAUGUGAAUUGCAGAAUUCAGUGAAUCAUCGAAUCUUUGAACGCACCUUGCGCUCCUUGGUAUUCCGAGGAGCAUGCCUGUUUGAGUGUCAUUAAAUUCUCAACCUUAUUAGCUUUUGUUAAUAAUGGAUUGGAUGUGGGGGUUUCUUUUGCUGGUUUCAUCACAGAGAUCAGCUCCCCUUAAAUGCAUUAGCUGGUGCCCCGCGUGGACCAUCUAUUGGUGUGAUAAUUAUCUACGCCGUGGAUGUCUGCAAUCAUAUGGGUUUUGCACUGCUUCUAACCGUCUCUUCAUUCGGACAAUACAUGACAAUUUGACCUCAAAUCAGGUAGGACUACCCGCUGAACUUAAGCAUAUCAAUAAGCGGAGGAAAAGAAACUAACAAGGAUUCCCCUAGUAACUGCGAGUGAAGCGGGAAAAGCUCAAAUUUAAAAUCUGGCGGUCUCCGGCCAUCCGAGUUGUAAUCUAGAGAAGUGUUAUCCGCGCUGGACCGUGUACAAA
rnacentral:rRNA from 1 species